GCCUUCGUGGUAUAGUGGUCAGCACGCUCGACGCGUAUUCGAGAGGUCCGUGGUUCGAGUCCUGGCGAGGGCA
rnacentral:tRNA from 1 species